rnacentral:rRNA from 1 species
GAUGAACGCUGGCGGCGUGCCUAAUACAUGCAAGUCGAGCGAACGGACGAGAAGCUUGCUUUUCUGAUGUUAGCGGCGGACGGGUGAGUAACACGUGGAUAACCUACCUAUAAGACUGGGAUAACUUCGGGAAACCGGAGCUAAUACCGGAUAAUAUUUUGAACCGCAUGGUUCAAAAGUGAAAGACGGUCUUGCUGUCACUUAUAGAUGGAUCCGCGCUGCAUUAGCUAGUUGGUAAGGUAACGGCUUACCAAGGCAACGAUGCAUAGCCGACCUGAGAGGGUGAUCGGCCACACUGGAACUGAGACACGGUCCAGACUCCUACGGGAUGCAGCAGUAGGGAAUCUUCCGCAAUGGGCGAAAGCCUGACGGAGCAACGCCGCGUGAGUGAUGAAGGUCUUCGGAUCGUAAAACUCUGUUAUUAGGGAAGAACAUAUGUGUAAGUAACUGUGCACAUCUUGACGGUACCUAAUCAGAAAGCCACGGCUAACUACGUG